rnacentral:rRNA from 1 species
UUUAUGGAGAGUUUGAUCCUGGCUCAGGAUGAACGCUGGCGGCGUGCCUAAUACAUGCAAGUCGAGCGAACGGACGAGAAGCUUGCUUCUCUGAUGUUAGCGGCGGACGGGUGAGUAACACGUGGAUAACCUACCUAUAAGACUGGGAUAACUUCGGGAAACCGGAGCUAAUACCGGAUGAUAUUUUGAACCGCAUGGUUCAAAAGUGAAAGACGGUCUUGCUGUCACUUAUAGAUGGAUCCGCGCUGCAUUAGCUAGUUGGUAAGGUAACGGCUUACCAAGGCAACGAUGCAUAGCCGACCUGAGAGGGUGAUCGGCCACACUGGAACUGAGACACGGUCCAGACUCCUACGGGAGGCAGCAGUAGGGAAUCUUCCGCAAUGGGCGAAAGCCUGACGGAGCAACGCCGCGUGAGUGAUGAAGGUCUUCGGAUCGUAAAACUCUGUUAUUAGGGAAGAACAUAUGUGUAAGUAACUGUGCACAUCUUGACGGUACCUAAUCAGAAAGCCACGGCUAACUACGUGCCAGCAGCCGCGGUAAUACGUAGGUGGCAAGCGUUAUCCGGAAUUAUUGGGCGUAAAGCGCGCGUAGGCGGUUUUUUAAGUCUGAUGUGAAAGCCCACGGCUCAACCGUGGAGGGUCAUUGGAAACUGGAAAACUUGAGUGCAGAAGAGGAAAGUGGAAUUCCAUGUGUAGCGGUGAAAUGCGCAGAGAUAUGGAGGAACACCAGUGGCGAAGGCGACUUUCUGGUCUGUAACUGACGCUGAUGUGCGAAAGCGUGGGGAUCAAACAGGAUUAGAUACCCUGGUAGUCCACGCCGUAAACGAUGAGUGCUAAGUGUUAGGGGGUUUCCGCCCCUUAGUGCUGCAGCUAACGCAUUAAGCACUCCGCCUGGGGAGUACGACCGCAAGGUUGAAACUCAAAGGAAUUGACGGGACCCGCACAAGCGGUGGAGCAUGUGGUUUAAUUCGAAGCAACGCGAAGAACCUUACCAAAUCUUGACAUCCUUUGACAACUCUAGAGAUAGAGCCUUCCCCUUCGGGGGACAAAGUGACAGGUGGUGCAUGGUUGUCGUCAGCUCGUGUCGUGAGAUGUUGGGUUAAGUCCCGCAACGAGCGCAACCCUUAAGCUUAGUUGCCAUCAUUAAGUUGGGCACUCUAAGUUGACUGCCGGUGACAAACCGGAGGAAGGUGGGGAUGACGUCAAAUCAUCAUGCCCCUUAUGAUUUGGGCUACACACGUGCUACAAUGGACAAUACAAAGGGCAGCGAAACCGCGAGGUCAAGCAAAUCCCAUAAAGUUGUUCUCAGUUCGGAUUGUAGUCUGCAACUCGACUACAUGAAGCUGGAAUCGCUAGUAAUCGUAGAUCAGCAUGCUACGGUGAAUACGUUCCCGGGUCUUGUACACACCGCCCGUCACACCACGAGAGUUUGUAACACCCGAAGCCGGUGGAGUAACCUUUUAGGAGCUAGCCGUCGAAGGUGGGACAAAUGAUUGGGGUGAAGUCGUAACAAGGUAGCCGUAUCGGAAGGUGCGGCUGGAUCACCUCCUUUCU